rnacentral:snRNA from 1 species
AAGCUUACCUUACCAUAGCAGCAUAUAUACCAAAAUUGGAAUGAUACAAAGAGUUACACGGACCCUGCACAAGGAUGACAUGCAAAUUUGUGUAUCUGUACACUGUAAG